CCUACGGGAGGCAGCAGUGAGGAAUAUUGGUCAAUGGGCGCAAGCCUGAACCAGCCAAGUCGCGUGAAGGAUGACGGCCCUACGGGUUGUAAACUUCUUUUAUAAGGGAAUAAAGUGCCUUACGUGUGCCUUUUUGUAUGUACCUUAUGAAUAAGGAUCGGCUAACUCCGUGCCAGCAGCCGCGGUAAUACGGAGGAUCCGAGCGUUAUCCGGAUUUAUUGGGUUUAAAGGGAGCGUAGGCGGCUUGUUAAGUCAGCUGUGAAAGUUUGGGGCUCAACCGUAGAAUUGCAGUUGAUACUGGCGGGCUUGAGUACGGGUGAGGUAGGCGGAAUUCGUGGUGUAGCGGUGAAAUGCUUAGAUAUCACGAAGAACCCCGAUUGCGAAGGCAGCUUGCUAAACCGCAACUGACGCUGAUGCUCGAAAGCGUGGGUAUCAAACAGGAUUAGAUACCCCAGUAGUC
rnacentral:rRNA from 1 species